ACCUGUGAAACACCAAACUCAUUUAACAGUGUAUUCAAACAACCUCAGCAGCAGUGCAGUUUUAUGGAAAUUUAAUGAUGCCUUCAUACUGGAAAAAGUGCAUGCUGUUGAUCUUGGGUAUCCUAGUGUGUAUUAAAUAUUGCAAUCAAACUGAAUAUGUUGUUCAGAUUGGAGACAAUGUGAGUAUUACAUGUAACCAAACAGGCAAUGGAAUACUCUGGUUCAAACAAUAUCCAAAUCAACGGCCAAUUCUGCUUGACCCGAAAAUGAAGGAUCAUGAAUACUUUAAUGAUGGAAGAUUAUUAACAAUGAAAAACAUAAAGUUGGAAGACUCUGCAACAUAUUACUGUGGUAAACGAGAAAAUACUGAGUACACAUUUGGAAACAUAACAUAUAUUAAAAUAAAAGGCAUGGACCAAUUGAAUAAAAGACGUCAUAACUCUUUACAAAGUGCUACUGUAGGAGAAAGCCUGAAUCUUACAUGCCCAAUGAAUCGUGGUGAUGUAGUAUGGUACAAACAAUCUGGCAAUGGUCCUCCAGUUGCAUUGAUAACUUUGUUCUAUAAAACAGCUCUACCUCUGCCUGUUUAUCACAAUGUGUUUGGUGAUCACUCUUUGAAGAGCUUCAGAUUACAAGAUACCAGUAUUUUAAAUAUCAGAGACAUAACAAAAGAUGACAAUGGAACAUAUUACUGUACCAGAAGAGUACAAGGAAAUAUUCAUUUUGAAAAUGGAACAGAGGUUAUAGUAGCAGUGCCAGAUUCAAGUCACCGUAUUUGUUCAUUCUAUUGGAGCCUACUGCCUUCUGUCAUUGGAUCAAUCUAUAUGUCACAGUGAUGGGAAGCAUAAACCAAAAAUGAAGGGUUAAAAUGUAUUCCCAGUAUGACAUUUUACUUAAACUUAAAGAGUAAGCAGCGGGGUUCCAAAAAAUAUAAUGUUAAUAAAGCAAUAGAUUCACUCGUGUAGCAGGUCUCUGCGCAUGGAAACCACAUUUUCACAAUUUGGUUUUUACAGAUCAUUCAUACAGUAUGGCCAGAUUCAGUAAUAUAAUACAGUUUUGUACCAAAUAUCAAGACAGUGGCUGCGAUUCUCAAUGGCAAGUUUUAGUAUUUUGCCUUUUUUAAAAAAAUUAUUUUCAACACCCAUCACAUGUGAUUUAAUUCUCCCCCCUGAUUCAAAGAAUGGUUUUAUGUUAUAUAAAAUAUUUUGUUUGCCUUGAUUUGUUAUUGUUUACUUCUGUUUUAUCAUACUUUUUUGAAUUUCUUGAUUAAAUUUUGGUGAGUUUGUGCCCUAUGAAUAAUGUGCUUUUUCACAUCUCAAUUUAUAGAUCAAAUUAAUUUUUAUUUUAGCUGUUUAUAUACUGAACACACCAAGGCCUCAAACACUUAGAGAAUAGACCCUUAAAUUUAAAAUGGCAACUUUUUGAUGGUACUUACUCAACCAACUCUGAUUUAUCAAUUAGACCUAAAUAAACUUGCUUGCAAUGGAAAUACAGUUAAUUUACAUAUCAAACCCCCCCCCCCCCCCUCCCAAUUACUUUGCAAGACAUCGGGUGAAAAGCCCGGUUUACUCAAGUAAAAUAAACUGAGUGAACAGAAACUCCAAAAAGCAUGUUACACAAGACAUUUUUCUUGUGUAAAUGUCUCAAGUUAAAAAAAAAAAAACUUGCAUGGAAAACCCAUUAUUGUGGGCAAUAAUCCUACGCUGUCAGUGCACUAGUGCAGCCAUUUUAAACAGAGCUUUGAAACAGACUUCAUGAAUGUCAUGCACAUCAAAUAGCUACAUUUAUUAAAAACCUUUGCUCUCCUGGGGCCGGUUUUUAAAAAUUUAUAAUCUGGGUAAAAGUGAUCCGGAUUUUGUAACUCUAUAUUUUGUGAUCAACAUUACUUUUAUCUGGAUAGUUUUGAUCUGGUUUUUUAGAAAAUGUCAAUUCUGGAUUACAUUUAUCCAUAUUAUAAAUAAGUAAUCUCGAUCACAAAAUAUAGGAUUACAAAAUCCAGAUCACUUUUAUCCAGAUUACAGGUUUUGAAAAACUGGCCCCAGGAUAUCACGUUUACAAGGGGGUCCUGGGGGGAGAGAAGCCACACACAAUCCAGUUACAGCUCUCUUACUAAACAUUACAAAUACAUUUACACUCACAGCAUAAAAGCAGCAAAUCAAAUAUCAACAUUUACACCUAAAUAUUACAAACAGUCUGUUUUCUAAGCUUUUCUAUAUGUAAAUCUCUGUUUUGCACAUUCCUUUUUUAUUGGGUGAAUAUGCUUUAGUUAUGUAAGAUCUCAAAAAACAAUGUCGACUAACCUCUUUUAAUUCAGAGGUUAAUUAAACUUUGUCAGACAUAUUUCAAUAGUCGUAUGUAUCAGUGAAAACGUAGUUUUCUUUUGUCAUUGCAUCAAAGCAUAAAGGGUUCAAAUGUAUUCCUAGUCUGAAACAUGUUUUUACUUACACUAGAACAUUAACUUCUUUUCUUCCUGUGUUUCUUCACCUUUACUUAUUGAAUUAGUUACUUGCUAAAUUAUGGUUUCAUUGAAAUUAGUUUGUUUUCUUUCU